rnacentral:misc_RNA from 1 species
AAUUCUCAACUCCAAGGGUUUCACGACCUUUCGGAGAUUGGACUUGGAGGUGCCGGCCGUGUACGGUCGGCUCCUCUCAAAUGCAUCGGCGGAAUUCAACCUUUGGGCUUCCGGACGUCAGUGUGAUAAUCAUGUUGCGCUGUCGUUUGACCCUCAGAGUCCGCUUAUAAUGGUCUUCGGACAAAUCGUCAUCAA